CCACGUCAGAUCAGACUUUAAGGUGCUUCUGAUGACCUAGAAUAUAGUAAAUGGGCACGCUCCUUCCUACCUGUCUGAUCUACUUAAACCUGAUACUCCAAUCAGGACUCUCCUCUCUCAGAAUACAGGGCUCCUGUCUGUCCACAGAGUUAAAAAGAAGUCAGCAGGCCAAAGGGCCUUUUCUUAUCGAGCCCCUUUCCUCUGGAAUAACCUCCCUAUGGACAUCAGACAGUCUGAAUCUGUGGAGGUCUUUAAAUCCAGACUCAAAACCCAUCGUUUUGACCUAACUUUCUAUUAGUUAGUUAUUCUUUUAUUAUCCGUCUGCUACCAGUCUGUUAACCAGGAGGAAGUGGAACUGAGAGAAGGUCAAAUCCAGAUCUAAGAGGAGACGGAGAGAUUCAGGGAGGAGCUAAGAUGUUACUGAGCUAUAGAAGAGAGAGGAACUUCUAUAUUCAGCAGAGUUCAAUACACAAACCAUCAACAUUACCUUCAUUCAACAUGCUCUCAUUGGACUGUUAUGGACUUUCUCUACUGUUUGUCACUAUUCUAACAGGUGUCAGCUGUGAAGAACUCACUCCAGUCAAUAAUGAAGAGUCCAGUUUAGAAGACAGCACUGUGACUCUGUCCUACUCAUAUUCUGGUGGUGAUUAUUUCUACUGGUAUCGACAAUAUCCAGGAAAACCACCAGAGUUCAUCAUCUCACAUUUAGCAAAAGGAACAAUAAUGAAACAUCAAAUCCCUGGACUGAAGAUUAAAGUGGAUCAGAACCAGAACCAAAUCCAUCUGAACAUCUCCUCUGCUGCAGUGUCACACUCUGCUGUGUACUACUGUGCUGUGAAGCCCACAGUGACAGGAAACACCAAAACUCUGUACAAAAACCUUUGGAGCAAAGACAACACAAUACUCCACAACGUCCACUAGAGGGAGUCACACUCUGUUCCACUUUAAGACGAUAACACAACAAAUGCUCCAACAACUCAACCAACAUCAUCAUCAUCCACUAA